ACAACGAAAAUAGAAAACCCCACGAAAACAUUGAAUACAGCCUGCGCCGAAUUAAGAGAUGUAAAAGCCAAUCUAAAACAAGUCGACAACCGCGUUGGACUUAUGGAAAAGAAAGUGAGCAUGAUUGAGGGGCGUCUCACUGAACUUGAAAACUACUCACGACGCUGGAAUCUACGACUCUAUGGUGUAGCUGAAAAGAAAAAACAAAAUGUCCGUGAGGAGGUCAUCUCGAUCUGCCAAGCGGUCCUGCCCGGAGAGAGAAAAGACACAUUUCUUCACGCCAUUGACACUGUACAUCGA